UUCCUACGGGGCGCAGCAGUGGGGGAUAUUGCACAAUGGGGGGAACCCUGAUGCAGCAACGCCGCGUGGGUGAAGGAGUAUUUCGGUAUGUAAAGCCCUAUCGGCAGGGGAGAAGCAAGACGGUACCUGACUAAGAAGCCCCGGCUAACUACGUGCCAGCAGCCGCGGUAAUACGUAGGGGGCGCGCGUUAUCCGGAUUCACUGGGGGUAAAGGGAGCGCAGACGGGCAUG
rnacentral:rRNA from 1 species